rnacentral:rRNA from 1 species
ACUCCUACGGGAGGCAGCAGUGGGGAAUAUUGCACAAUGGGGGAAACCCUGAUGCAGCCAUGCCGCGUGUGUGAAGAAGGCCUUGGGUUGUAAAGCACUUUCAGUAGGGAGGAAGGUAGUGUAGUUAACACCUGCACUAUUUGACGUUACCUACAGAAGAAGCACCGGCUAACUCCGUGCCAGCAGCCGCGGUAAUACGGAGGGUGCGAGCGUUAAUCGGAAUUACUGGGCGUAAAGCGCAUGCAGGCGGCCUGUUAAGUCAGAUGUGAAAGCCCGGGGCUUAACCUCGGAAUUGCAUUUGAAACUGGCAGGCUAGAGUCUUGUAGAGGGGUUAGAAUUUCAGGUGUAGCGGUGAAAUGCGUAGAGAUCUGAAGGAAUACCAGU